UACAGAGGGGGCAAGCGUUGUUCGGAAUUACUGGGCGUAAAGGGCGCGUAGGCGGCCUUCUAAGUCGAACGUGAAAUCCCUGGGCUCAACCCAGGAACUGCGUCCGAUACUGGAAGGCUUGAAUCCGGGAGAGGGAUGCGGAAUUCCAGGUGUAGCGGUGAAAUGCGUAGAUAUCUGGAGGAACACCGGUGGCGAAGGCAGCCCCCUGGGCCAAUACUGACGCUCAGGCACGAAAGCGUGGGGAGCAAACAGG
rnacentral:rRNA from 1 species